UUUUGUUUUUUUCACAUCUGUACAAGUUUUGGAUCUUUCCCGGACCGUAAGCGCGGGCGGUCGGUGUAAUCCUCAAUCAGUCAGGCUGCACGUGAACGUGAGCACAGUCUGUGAUAAACUGGGCUCUGGAUGCGGCUGUUCCACAAAAGUCACACUGAUAAAUCCACUCUGCACCCUGUCGAUGAAAACUCUGAUCAAAUCACAAUAAAGGCAGUUUUUGAAAAAACGUGAUUGACGUAGAGCAGAGAGCAGCCAGCGGACCAAACCGUGUGU